rnacentral:rRNA from 1 species
UACGGGGGGGGGCAAGCGUUGUUCGGAAUUACUGGGCGUAAAGGGCUCGUAGGUGGCCAACUAAGUCAGACGUGAAAUCCCUCGGCUUAACCGGGGAACUGCAUCUGAUACUGGAUGGCUUGAGAUUGGGAGAGGGAUGCGGAAUUCCAGGUGUAGCGGUGAAAUGCGUAGAUAUCUGGAGGAACACCGGUGGCGAAGGCGGCAUCCUGGACCAACACUGACGCUGAGGAGCGAAAGCCAGGGGAGCAAACGGG